CCAGACUUGCUCCUUCCUCACAGUCACAGUGACGAGUACGCAGUUCCAAUCCACACCCCCAAAAAAGAAUCUCUGUCGCCGCCGGCGCCGCCGCCACCGCCGCCUGCGCCAUGCUCCGGCUCCGAGAGUCCAUCCUUUCCCAUAUCCUCUCCUCUCCCUCCAAAGCUGCAUUCUUCCCACUCAGCCGCCUUCUCUCCGCCCCCGUUUCCCCGAACCCUAGCAGCUUCGCCGUGGAGGAGUACCUCGUCGACACCUGCGGCCUCGCCAGGCCACAAGCCCUCAAGGCCUCCACCAAGCUCUCCCACCUCAAAUCCCCCGCCAACCCCGACGCCGUCCUCGCCUUCCUCGCCGGCCUCGGUCUCUCCGGCCCCGACGUCUCCGCCGCCGUCGCCAAGGACCCGCAGCUCCUAUGCGCCAAAGUGGACAAAACCCUGGCUCCGGUGGUCGAUGGGCUCACCGGCCUCGGCCUGUCGCGUUCCGACAUCGCCCGCCUCGUCUCGCUCGCCCACGCCUACUUCCGCUGUAGAUCCAUAGUCCCCAAGCUGCACUACUACCUGCCCCUCUUGGGCUCCUUCCACAACUUCCUCCGGCUGCUCAAGCACUCACCCCGCCUUCUGUCGUCGGACCUCGACAAGGUUGUCAAGCCCAAUGUUGUGUUUCUUAAGGAGUGCGGGCUAGGUGAUUGUCAUAUUGCCAAGCUGUGUAUCCCUGUACCGAGGAUGCUCGCCACCAACCCGGAGCGCGUCCGGGCAAUGGUGGCAUGUGCUGAAAGAUUGGGUGUACCUCGUGGCACUGGAAUGUUCAGGCAAGCGCUACGGGCUGUCGCGUUUCUCAACGAGGAGAAGAUUGCCGCCAAAGUGAACUACUUGAAGAGUACGUUCAGGUGGUCUGAUGCCGAAGUGAGCAUUGCUGUGCGCAAGUAUCCGAUUCUGCUGGAGAAGUCAAAGGAAUCUCUGAAGCGCAGAUCCGAGUUCCUGUUCUAUAAGGUGGGGGUGGAACCCGUGUACAUUGCUCAUCGACCGGAAAUAAUUUCUUAUAGCAUGGAGGGCCGACUCAGACCCCGGUACUAUGUUAUCAAGUUUCUCAAGCAAAAUGGACUGCUAGAUCGUGACUUGAGCUUAUAUUCUGCGGUCAAGAUGACUGAGAAGGUAUUUGUGGAGAAGCUCAUAUGCCCUCACAGGGAAGCCGCACCACACCUCGCUGAAGACUAUGCAACAGCUUGCAAAGGGGAGAUGCCAAAUAAUUUCAGAUUCAUAUGAACAAAAAAGGGCUAUGGAAGUUGGUUACAGUGUAUUGUGCAACAAAGUGAUCACCCUGCGUGUUAGACUUCGAGACACUGAGACCUUCUACCUGUUGUCCACCCGUUACAUGAUACUGAGACCUUCUGCCGGUUGUCCAUUCUAACAUAAAGAGUGGCAAGUUGUGUUUUGUGAUGUAAUUAUGUUUCCUGGUUGUGUUUAAUGACCAACAGGGGUAACCAUCCCUGCUACUGUCACCGUGCCAUUAUAUACAAACAUUUUCCCUGUUCAGAGACACGAAAGAUGACAGCCAUUUAGAUCUGACAAAAAAGAGAAAAUUGCAGCAACUAGUUGUAUUGUGUGAAAGCUGCAAAUGGCAACUGCAGCUGAUGAUCAACAAGAUGAGAAAUAGUAUAUAUUCAGCGAAACCAGAAUAUGACUUAGUAAAAGUUAUACGGUUAUUCCAAGGUGAUGAAGCGCCUAUCUGCGAACUGGGCGUCGACCAGUUGGCUAGUGGCGUGUGGCCCGCUGCACACCCAGCCCGCCACCUGUGUUCAAGCUUUUGGCUCUGAAGAGUGUUGUGCCUGGGUUAAAAGAUACCAGAGUCUAGUCCCUGUUGGUCUAGUUUAUGAAGUGCAUAUCUCCGCGGUGACUCCAACUUGUGUUUCUUGGCCAUCGGAUGCAAUCACCUCUGUCAUAUUACGUCUGCAGAGCAUCAACAGACCUGGGCUUCUGUUGUUUAUUUUUUCAUGCUCUGAUUUGAACUGAGGUAUGUUAACUUUCUUUUCCUGAACUUCAUGAUCAAAAUGGAGAAGAAUGUAACACUUAUGGAGAUGAAUGCAUUGGAUAUUAGGUUCAGAUAUGAUAGAUACAACUAGGCCCAAUGCCACGAGGAAAAAAUCACCCUGCUGUUCAGAUUCAUAAACCUUUCUUAAAAGAGUUACACUUUAGCAAAAAAUAAUGGUUAAGAUAGGUUGAUUUUUCACUGGGGUUAGACUUACGUUUUACUCAGAAGUUCUAGCAAACCAUCUCUCAAGUAGAAGAAAACAAACCUAAUCAGUCCGAUGUAAUUUUUCUGCUGCCCUGGAGCAUGAUGCUGAAUUACCGUGUUAAGCAUGAGUAUGUUUUUCUUAAUUUGAAACGAUGGACGGCUGCAUGUGAUUUGCGGUUGCUAAUGUUCAGUUCUGACUAUUAAACA